GUUGUUAGGGAAGAACAAGUACCAGAGUAACUGCUGGUACCUUGACGGUACCUAACCAGAAAGCCACGGCUAACUACGUGCUAGCAGCCGCGGUAAUACGUAGGUGGCAAGCGUUGUCCGGAAUUAUUGGGCGUAAAGCGCGCGCAGGUGGUUUCUUAAGUCUGAUGUGAAAGCCCACGGCUCAACCGUGGAGGGUCAUUGGAAACUGGGGAACUUGAGUGCAGAAGAGGAAAGUGGAAUUCCAAGUGUAGCGGUGAAAUGCGUAGAGAUUUGGAGGAACACCAGUGGCGAAGGCGACUUUCUGGUCUGUAACUGACACUGAGGCGCGCAAGCGUGGGGAGCGAACAGGAUUAGU
rnacentral:rRNA from 1 species